CAGGAGCAGGGACCAGCAAGAAACAUCUACCUGGCCCUGUGCACUUGACUUCCAGUUGGUGAUCUCACAUUCUAAGGAUGAAAGACUUUGGUCUCUGCUGUAGCUCAGUCAGGGUCCAUGUGCAGCCUCAAAUAGAUGGAGCAUUGGUAGUUUUACAUUCCUCCACCUGAGAUCUCAUGAAGGAGGAUGGAUAUUGUCCCUUUGUCUCUAUUACAGGCAAGAAGGAAGGCUCUCUCACAAAAAUUCCCAUCAUACUGGGCCUUUGUCUACUCAUUGUCUGAAUGUACAUGUUGAAUAUUCACAUAUCUCUAACCUUGUUUACCAUAACCAGCCUCUUUUUGCAUACAUCAUCAAAACUCUGUGGAGUUUUCUUGAGUCCUCAGGGAUUCAUUCCACUUAAUGAUAAAACAAAAGAUCUGCAUUGCUGCUAUUGUAGCUUCAAGUAUUUCUCAAUACUGUAUUGUCUCACACCAGGACAUGGUUAAGUAGGAUGGGAACUGUAUUUCAAAAUGCAUGAGAAAACUAGAUGUAAUUUGCAUGGCUGCACAAGGUACAUGAAUCCACUGUGUAGUCUGUCACUUUCUCAAGCUGAGAAACUCUAGAAGAGAAAAGUUCCCAGAAAACCAAAAGCUAAAACAAUGUUGCUAUUUCAUACAAUUUAAAUUCUUAUAUAGAGUUGGAGUUAUUCAGUUCUAGAGGGCAGGACUAGGGAGAUGGUCUCCUUUGUGAUGGUAACUGGAUUUUUUCAGAUACUACUUUCUAUAUUGAUUCUUACUUUUCUUGUAUAAAUGUAGACAUAUGUGAGUACAUACAUAUGUGUUUGUAAGUACACACACACACAAGGCCUGGGGGACCUGCCUAUAUCUGUACAAAUUCUAUUUGAAUUCUAAAGACUUCUUCUAUUAACUUUAACUUUCAGAGCUGAUUAAUGACUGUUUCAAAGCAGAGGAAUUUUCUCAGUUUUAACUCAAGGCAUCAAGGACCAUCAACACUGUCCUUAGAGCUCUUGGGGUUUCGUACAAUAUUCCUACUUCAAAAGAAAAGAACAGAAAACUCCAAAACUGAAAGACAUAAAGAGACAAGAUCCUACUGCAAGAAGGCACAGACAGUACUCCAAAACUGGAAAAAAACUCUUUCCAGAACCAGAAGAUUGUCUGGAGGUGGGUGGGCCAGAGAUUUGUGCUGUUUCUUGAAGGAUACUGACCCAAACAUCAAAGGACUCAAGAAGCACCAAGGGCUCCCAGAAAGGCCAGGUGACCCAAGGCGUGGGAACAGCAAGUGGCACCUUUCACUCCUGGAACUGUUCUGCACUGCUGAGCCACCUCCUCCCCGCAGGCUGCCCAGGCAAAGGGCAGGACCUGUGCUCGCAGAGUGCCCAGCAGCCCUGUCAGGAUGGUUUUCAUGGGCAGCUGUGGAGAUGGUGGAGUUAUGAGCAGCACCAAUGGAGCCUUUCUCAAGAACAGGAGCUGGUUCCCAGCUUCCCAGGGGACUCCUUUGGGAGCCACAGCCCAACAGCACCACCCACCUCAGGCAAGGAUCUGCCUCCUGCAUCAUCUUCCUGGUGGCGUGGGGUCAGUUAAAGUUCUCCAGCAGUGCUGCGGAGGUUUUCUCCACACAAGCGGGGGUGUUAACCAUGGUGGCAUGGCACGGCUCCAGCUCGGCUCUCCCGCUGCUCUGGCAGCCGGGGCAGCGCACCCCGCGCUGUUUAAACAGCUGCCUCGUUUCAUCUGGGACGUGGCUGCCCUUCAGUCCUGGGAGAAGAGCUCAUCUUCUGGAGAGUUUGCAUAACAAUUAACAUUUGUCAGCUGAGAUCUGCCUGGUGAAAGAUCGCUAUUUACAAGUAGGCGGCUGGAGUGAUACGUGUCUCCCUUCUUCCUGAAACCUGGAUUUGAAAAGCUCUGUGAUGCCUCAUCUUCUCAUAACCUUGCAGAACAACAGCAUUAGCAGUAAUGAGCAAAGCACAGCAGCACCUCAGGACAAACUCUGGGACAAAUGGAAAGACCACCUGGGUGUAAUGUUGUAGGAAGCAGAUAGCAAAUGGUAUCUUCUUUUUAUAACUAUUAUGUUAGAAAGGAUAAA